rnacentral:rRNA from 1 species
UACGGAGGGUGCAAGCGUUAUCCGGAUUUACUGGGUUUAAAGGGUGUGUAGGCGGGCAGGUAAGUCAGUGGUGAAAUCCCCGAGCUUAACUUGGGAACUGCCGUUGAUACUAUCUGUCUUGAAUACCGUGGAGGUGAGCGGAAUAUGUCAUGUAGCGGUGAAAUGCUUAGAUAUGACAUAGAACACCAAUUGCGAAGGCAGCUCGCUACACGAAUAUUGACUCUGAGGCACGAAGCGUGGGGAUCAAACAGGA